rnacentral:rRNA from 1 species
AUACGUAGGGAGCAAGCGUUGUCCGGAAUUACUGGGCGUAAAGAGCGUGUAGGCGGCCCUUUAAGUCAGAUGUGAAAACUCAGGGCUCAACCCUGAGACUGCAUCUGAUACUGGAGGGCUUGAGUGCAGGAGAGGAAAGUGGAAUUCCUAGUGUAGCGGUGAAAUGCGUAGAUAUUAGGAGGAACACCAGUGGCGAAGGCGACUUUCUGGACUGUAACCGACGCUGAGACGCGAAAGCGUGGGGAGCAAACAGGAUUAGAUACCCUGGUAGUCCACGCCGUAAACGAUGGGUUCUAGGUGUAGGAGGUAUCGACCCCUUCUGUGCCGUAGCAAACGCGAUAAGUACCCCGCCUGGGGAGUACGGCCGCAAGGUUGAA